rnacentral:rRNA from 1 species
GACAGAGGGUGCAAACGUUGCUCGGAAUUACUGGGCGUAAAGCGCGUGUAGGCGGUCACGCAAGUCAGGUGUGAAAGCCCAGGGCUCAACCCUGGAAGUGCACAUGAUACUACGUGGCUGGAGUACUGAAGAGGAGAGCGGAAUUCCCGGUGUAGAGGUGAAAUUCGUAGAUAUCGGGAGGAACACCAGUGGCGAAGGCGGCUCUCUGGGCAGAUACUGACGCUGAGACGCGAAAGCGUGGGUAGCAAGCAGG